UGGGGAAUAUUGGACAAUGGGCGAAAGCCUGAUCCAGCAACGCCGCGUGAGGGAUGACGGCCUUCGGGUUGUAAACCUCUUUCAGUAGGGACGAAGCGCAAGUGACGGUACCUACAGAAGAAGCACCGGCCAACUACGUGCCAGCAGCCGCGGUAAUACGUAGGGUGCGAGCGUUGUCCGGAAUUAUUGGGCGUAAAGGGCUCGUAGGCGGUUUGUCACGUCGGGAGUGAAAACUCGGGGCUUAACCCCGAGCCUGCUUCCGAUACGGGCUGACUAGAGGUAUGCAGGGGAGAACGGAAUUCCUGGUGUAGCGGUGAAAUGCGCAGAUAUCAGGAGGAACACCGGUGGCGAAGGCGGUUCUCUGGGCAUUACCUGACGCUGAGGAGCGAAAGUGUGGGGAGCGAACAGGAUUAGAUACCCUGGUAGUCCACACCGUAAACGUUGGGCGCUAGGUGUGGGACUCAUUCCACGAGUUCCGUGCCGCAGCUAACGCAUUAAGCG
rnacentral:rRNA from 1 species